rnacentral:rRNA from 1 species
GAAGAACGCUGGCGGCGUGCUUAACACAUGCAAGUCGAACGGAAAGGCCCUGCUUUUGUGGGGUGCUCGAGUGGCGAACGGGUGAGUAACACGUGAGUAACCUGUCCUUGACUUUGGGAUAACUUCAGGAAACUGGGGCUAAUACCGGAUAGGAGCUCCUGCUGCAUGGUGGGGGUUGGAAAGUUUCGGCGGUUGGGGAUGGACUCGCGGCUUAUCAGCUUGUUGGUGGGGUAGUGGCUUACCAAGGCUUUGACGGGUAGCCGGCCUGAGAGGGUGACCGGCCACAUUGGGACUGAGAUACGGCCCAGACUCCUACGGGAGGCAGCAGUGGGGAAUAUUGCACAAUGGGCGGAAGCCUGAUGCAGCAACGCCGCGUGCGGGAUGACGGCCUUCGGGUUGUAAACCGCUUUCGCCUGUGACGAAGCGUGAGUGACGGUAAUGGGUAAAGAAGCACCGGCUAACUACGUG